rnacentral:rRNA from 1 species
AGAUUGAACGCUGGCGGCAUGCCUUACACAUGCAAGUCGAACGGCAGCACGGGAGCAAUCCUGGUGGCGAGUGGCGAACGGGUGAGUAAUAUAUCGGAACGUGCCCAGUCGUGGGGGAUAACGCAGCGAAAGCUGUGCUAAUACCGCAUACGAUCUAUGGAUGAAAGCGGGGGAUCGCAAGACCUCGCGCGAUUGGAGCGGCCGAUAUCAGAUUAGCUAGUUGGUGGGGUAAAACGCCUACCAAGGCGACGAUCUGUAGCUGGUCUGAGACGAACGACCAGCCACACUGGAACUGAGACACGGUCCAGACUCCGUACGGGAGGCAGCAGUAGGGUAAUUUUGGACAAGUGGGCG